rnacentral:hammerhead_ribozyme from 1 species
GUUCGGAUGAAGAGUCCCAAAUAAGACGAAACGCGCAUCCUGAUGAAU